AACGAACGCUGGCGGCAGGCUUAACACAUGCAAGUCGAGCGCAUCCUUCGGGGUGAGCGGCAGACGGGUGGGUAACGCGUGGGAAUCUACCUUUUGCUACGGAAUAGCUCCGGGAAACUGGAAUUAAUACCGUAUGUGCCCUUAGGGGGAAAGAUGUAUCGGCAAGAGAUGAGCCCGCGUUGGAUUAGCUAGUUGGUGGGGUACAGGCCUACCAAGGCGACGAUCCAUAGCUGGUCUGAGAGGAUGAUCAGCUACAUUGGGACUGAGACACGGCCCAAACUCCUACGGGAGGCAGCAGUGGGGAAUAUUGGACGAUGGGCGCAAGCCUGAUCCAGCCAUGCCGCGUGAGUGAUGAAGGCCUUAGGGUUGUAAAGCUCUUUCACCGGAGAAGAUAAUGACGGUAUCCGGAGAAGAAGCCCCGGCUAACUUCGUG
rnacentral:rRNA from 1 species